rnacentral:rRNA from 1 species
AUUGAACGCUGGCGGCAGGCUUAACACAUGCAAGUCGAACGAGCGGCGGACGGGUGAGUAAUGUCUGGGAAACUGCCUGAUGGAGGGGGAUAACUACUGGAAACGGUGGCUAAUACCGCAUACCAUCAGAUGGGCCGAGAUGGGAUUAGCUAGUAGGUGGGGUAAAGGCUCACCUAGGCGACGAUCCCUAGCUGGUCUGAGAGGAUGACCAGCCACACUGGAACUGAGACACGGUCCAGACUCCUACGGGAGGCAGCAGUGGGGAAUAUUGGACAAUGGGCGAAAGCCUGAUCCAGCCAUGCCGCGUGUGUGAAGAAGGCCUUCGGGUUGUAAAGCACUUUCAGCGGGGAGGCGUUACUCGCAGAAGAAGCACCGGCUAACUCCGUGCCAGCAGCCGCGGUAAUUC